UACGUAGGGGGCAAGCGUUGUCCGGAUUUAUUGGGCGUAAAGAGCGUGUAGGCGGCCAAACAGGUCAGCUGUGAAAACUCGAGGCUCAACCUCGAGACGUCGGUUGAAACCGUUUGGCUAGAGUCCGGAAGAGGAGAGUGGAAUUCCCGGUGUAGCGGUGAAAUGCGCAGAUAUCGGGAAGAACACCCGUGGCGAAGGCGGCUCUCUGGGACGGUACUGACGCUGAGACGCGAAAGCGUGGGGGGCGAACAGG
rnacentral:rRNA from 1 species